rnacentral:lncRNA from 1 species
CUGGGAGAGAAAAAGAGGGAUGGGCAGAUUCGAUCAAAUCCAUGGCUUCAGAUCACAGCUCAAGAAUCUCUUUUAAUGGAGUAAGGCACGUAUUUUUCUUCUUUUACUUUUUCUUUUCCAUCAUUUGGGUAUGGCAUAUUCUUCAUUCAUUAACCCUUUUUUUUUUUUUUUUCUUUUCUAAUUAUUAAUUAAUUACUUAAAGAUACCAAUUGAAAUUAGUUCAACUUCAAGUAAUAAAACUUUGAUUUGAUUUAUGUUAGUUUAUAAUUGUGAAUACAAAUUUAAAUAAAUAUAUUAAGUCAAUAUUAUAAGUUAGUACGCUUUAUCAAAAAAUUAGAGACGAACUUAAUUUUUGUGUGUUAAUUUAAUAACUACGUAGUUGUGGUUAAAAAAAUUAAAAAAUUAAAAACCCAAUUAUUAUAUCAUUUUAAUUUUAAAUUCACGAUGCCAAUUCCUUUUUUUUUUCUUUCUAAAUAAUAUAGAAAUUUUAGAUAAUAAUGAAAAUUUUACACUAAAAAAUUAUCUAUAAAUUAAUAGACUUUGAUCUAGUAUAUAAUUUUUGAGUAAUUUAUUUCAAAUUUUGUUAAAUUUAAAAUAUAUUGUGUAAAUUCCACACAACCUUUUGUGCAUUAGUACUAUUAUUAUUUUUUUCUUUUAAUAAAAUUUACUUUUCUCUGUGAUUAAACUAAAAAAAUAAUUUGUAAAUAAGUUCUAAAAAUUAAAUAUACUUUAUCGUGUAUGUAUAUGUGAUAUCUACCAAAACGACAGAAGAUAAGUUGAGAACCACAUGGUUUCUUGGUCCCCAUUUUACCACAAUUGUUUUUUAUUUAAAAGAGGAAACUAAUUGCAUUAAAGAUUGGAAAUUUUGUUUUCCACAUUUGAAAAUAGUUUAUCGUGUUGGAAUACUUUCUUGGUCUUCUAUUGUUUACAUUUUACAUAUCUACUUUCGUUUUAUUUUUUAAUAAACAAAUUAAAUUAAUUAUAUCAUAUUUAUAACAAGUAUUUAUUCAACUCGUCACCUAAUUGUCAUAUUUAGUCGUUAACAAGAGUGUUUAAGUUAAUGUGAAUGGAAGCACCGACCCAAGAAUUUAUUGGAUGUCGUGAUGGAAUGGUAAGAAACUAUUGCUUGUUUGGUGGAAAAUUAUUUUCAACUUUUAAAUUUUAAAUUUAUAUAAUAAUUUAAUUAAUUUUAAAAUAUUUUUUAAUUUUAUCCUUAAUAUUUGCCCUAUUGAUAAAUUAUUAAAACAUUUAUGGGAGUAAAUAUUUAUGAAGUAUUUUACAUUUCUUUUUUAUUGCAACUUUAUUUAUAUGUAGAUGAUGGUUGGAAAUAAAUUGACGCAUGCUAUAAAUAAUAAUUAUCAAUGACAUUAUAAUUGUAUUUUCAAAGUAAGCUAUUGAUGCAAUUGCGCAUGCUUUGUGAGGGAUCAUUUCCAAUCUUAUGGUAAGAUUCCAAUAAUCUAGAUUUAAACUAUAAAUAAAUAUAUAUAUAUAUAUAUGUAUGUAAGAUAUAAAUUAUAAGUUUUUAUGCUGUUUGGCUUUAUUAUAAUUUUUUUUUAUAAUCUAAUUAAUGUAAUUUAGAGCUUUAUUUCACUCAAAAAAAAUUAGUGCU